UACCAGCUCUCCGAGUGGUGUGGAUGUUUAUUGGGCCUAAAGCAUCCGUAGCUGGCUGGGCAAGUCCCCUGUUAAAUCCACCGAUUUAAUCGUUGGAGUGCGGGGGAUACUGCUCGGCUAGGGGACGGGAGAGGCAGACGGUAUUUUCGGGGUAGGGGUGAAAUCCUAUAAUCCCGAGAAGACCACCAGUGGCGAAGGCUGUCUGCUAGAACGUGCCCGACGGUGAGGGAUGAAAGCUGGGGGAGCGAACCGGAUUAGAUACCCGGGUAGUCCCAGCUGUAAACGAUGCAGGCUAGGUGUUUGGACGGCCACGUGCCGUUCUAGUGCCGCAGGGAAGCCGUUAAGCCUGCCGCCUGGGGAGUACGGCCGCAAGGCUGAAACUUAAAGGAAUUGGCGGGGGAGCACCACAAGGGGUGAAGCUUGCGGUUU
rnacentral:rRNA from 1 species